AGUACCAUAUGGUCGUAUUUAUUAUGGAGUGUUGUGUAGUACAAUUUCUUGUGAUUAUAUAUAACUUCGGAAUCAAUUACCCCUUGCAUUACCCUGGAUUUGUAAGAUAUGAAAUGUGGAAAAUUCCUACAGGAGCGACCUGAGAUCACAUGUGGCCACCCUCACAUAUUCCCUUAUCUUCUAUUGGUUGUGUUUUCGUGUGUUCUCAGGUCACCCCUGCCGGGCUUUCCUCCCCUGCUAGAUUGGUAUGAUGAUGAUAUAUAGAUUGCUGAUGGAGUUCAGCCAAUGAAAUUUGCCCACCUGGUUCAAUUGCCUCUCUUGCAAGGCAUGUAAAUCAACAAGGUGACCUGUGUCUCUGAAAGAGCUGCAAAAUAAGAGUCUCAUGGUCAACCUCCAUCCAAUUCUUACAGUGCUUGAAUGGAGUCCAUUUCAGAAGUUGGUAACUUAGUAUUGAUCUGAAAUGAUAAGAUAGUGCAUCUAAUGCGCCAUAAAUUAUAUAGUUGAUUGGGAUGGCAAUAAUGCCAGCUUGUUCAGAUCAGGGCAAGUUCGACAUUGACGGACCAGAACAUGGCGGAGAGGCCAUACAAUAAUGACAAGAAAAUGCAAGGUGUUUUAGUAAAACCAAAUUAAAAAAUGCGGCUUCUCAAUUCCAUUGCCAAUAGCAUGGAAUGAGAUCUCUAAGGUAGCAUGUAUGCAUGUUUUUAUGUAUAUAUCAAUGUGUGCGCAAACAAUAGCUGAUAAUUAUGUGUCUGCAGUA